rnacentral:rRNA from 1 species
GAUGAACGCUGGCGGCGUGCCUAAUACAUGCAAGUCGAGCGAACAGACGAGGAGCUUGCUCCUCUGACGUUAGCGGCGGACGGGUGAGUAACACGUGGAUAACCUACCUAUAAGACUGGGAUAACUUCGGGAAACCGGAGCUAAUACCGGAUAAUAUAUUGAACCGCAUGGUUCAAUAGUGAAAGACGGUUUUGCUGUCACUUAUAGAUGGAUCCGCGCCGCAUUAGCUAGUUGGUAAGGUAACGGCUUACCAAGGCAACGAUGCGUAGCCGAUCUGAGAGGGUGAUCGGCCACACUGGAACUGAGACACGGUCCAGACUCCUACGGGAGGCAGCAGUAGGGAAUCUUCCGCAAUGGGCGAAAGCCUGACGGAGCAACGCCGCGUGAGUGAUGAAGGUCUUCGGAUCGUAAAACUCUGUUAUUAGGGAAGAACAAAUGUGUAAGUAACUAUGCACGACUUGACGGUACCUAAUCAGAAAGCCACGGCUAACUACGUG